rnacentral:rRNA from 1 species
GGUUAAGCGACUAAGCGUACACGGUGGAUGCCCUGGCAGUCAGAGGCGAUGAAGGACGUGCUAAUCUGCGAUAAGCGUCGGUGAGGUGAUAUGAACCGUUAUAACCGGCGAUUUCCGAAUGGGGAAACCCAGUGUGUUUCGACACACUAUCAUUAACUGAAUCCAUAGGUUAAUGAGGCGAACCGGGGGAACUGAAACAUCUAAGUACCCCGAGGAAAAGAAAUCAACCGAGAUUCCCCCAGUAGCGGCGAGCGAACGGGGAGGAGCCCAGAGCCUGAAUCAGUGUGUGUGUUAGUGGAAGCGUCUGGAAAGGCGCGCGAUACAGGGUGACAGCCCCGUACACAAAAAUGCACAUAUUGUGAGCUCGAUGAGUAGGGCGGGACACGUGGU